UAAAUUUUUUAGGGUUAAUUUUUUAAGGUUUGGUAAGAACUUAUUUAAUCAAUCAUUUGGAAUCAUAAUAAACUAAAAGUUGCUGCUACUACUCAGCGGAGAGCCUUGGACCUGCUGUAGGAGUAACCUAUUACCUUCUGGGUGGAAUUGCCACAACAUGGACAUUCUUAUGCCUCUUCUUAUCCGAGCAGUCACACCAGAAAUCAACCAGAAAAGCAACCACCAGAACACACAAAACCUUUUUCCAGCAAGCCUCAAGCUCACAAAACAACCAGCUAAGUCAAAUCCCAUCCUGUUUUCCCUUUUGUUCGCCGCUCCAAGUAGUUCAGCCGAGGAGCUCCAAGUUCUGAUGAAGCGGAAUAAAGCAGUCAGCAGUUCUAAAGCUCCGUGUUCUGGCGGAAGUAUACUUCCAAUACACAUCCCCUUUCCCCUUAACAUUUUUCUUUUUCCAUUUACGCAGGCAACUAGCUGUUCGAACCAGUUCCAUCUACGAGCUCUCCGCUAAAUAACCUGAAACCCUUUCUAGCCUUUUCUAUCGCAGCAAACGAGCUGGACAAGCUCAAAUUCCGGAUGUAGGUAACCAGGAUCAGCACGCAAUGCGUUGUUGAUCCAUAUUGAGCUCUAGAGUCAGUGGUGAACCUUCUUCCAUUCCAGAGGAUCUUUUUAUUGCUUUCUAGUUAGUUUAACAGAAUGUUGUGGGGGUUUUCCCAACAUUCAUCUCAGUCAGUUUAGAGGCUUUGUAAACAUAUAGUAAUUUAGAUUGUUCAGUUCUAUUUCUCUUUUAUAUUACAUUUCAGAUGCUCUAACUUUGAGACACAA